AGCACUCUGUAUUACAGUUGGAAAUGAGAGACUUACAUCAGCUAGCAACACUUCCACAGUUGUGUUAAACAGCUUAUCACCAGGGUGCUCCAUGUUUCCACUUCUGAAGAAGUACCUGAUAGGAAAGGUCUGUUCUCCAGUCUGACAAAGAGAGAAGAAACUUUGCUGAACCAGGCAGGAUGGCUCCUUUUGGUGCCAACCUCAGUUUCUACUGUUCAUAGAUAGGGAUACCCAUCACCAGUGAGACUGCAAAGAAAGAAGUCCACAAGCCACAUAACCUUAAGUCAGACUGACAGAUCUAUGGGCACUCCAGUGAGAACUCCAGCACUAGAUCACAUUGCUACAGGUGCACCUACAAUUGAGAAGGCUGCAGAAAGUUAUCCAUUGUCAUGGGCAUGGCCAAGUUGGUUUUUCAGUUAAGCCAAAAAUGCUGCCAAUGUUUCUUUAUAUAAAAUCACCCUAGAGGAGGGUCAUAAUUUCAACAAAACAUAAACCCCCGCAAAAUGGUUGAUGAGUUCCUUAUUAUUGCUUAUGAAAGUUCUUUUUAACUAUCACAUGAGAGUUAGGAGAAGAUGUAACUGUAUAUUUUGUAUUAGAUUUCAACAGAAUUCAUUAUGAUUUGUGCAGGUAUUAGCUGAUUUUGCAUGUGGAUGAAAAAGUUACACUGAAGAUUUAUUAAUAUCUUUUAAAGAAUCUCAUCACCUUUCCAUUUGCUUCUAACUUUAGCAAACCGAGUACAUAAUGAAUUCUCCUUGGCUUCCUCAUUCAUGUUCAUUUUAGAGGAAAAAAUGUCAGCUAAUGCAUCUCAGCCAUAUGAAUAUAUGAAUAAAACCAGUA